UACGAAGGGGGCUAGCGUUGUUCGGAAUCACUGGGCGUAAAGGGCGCGUAGGCGGCUCAUGAAGGCUGUGGUGAAAGUCCGGGGCUCAACCUCGGAUCGGCCGUGGCGACUCGUGGGCUGGAGCACUGUAGAGGCGGGUGGAAUUCCGGGUGUAGCGGUGGAAUGCGUAGAGAUCCGGAAGAACACCAGUGGCGAAGGCGGCCCGCUGGGCAGUGGCUGACGCUGAAGCGCGACAGCGUGGGGAGCAAACCGG
rnacentral:rRNA from 1 species